GUGUUCGCUUCGGCAGCACAUAUACUAAAAUUGGAAGGAUACAGAGAAGAGUAGCAUACCCUCUGUGCAAGGAUGACAUGCAAAUUUGUGAAGCGUUUCAUGUUUUU
rnacentral:snRNA from 1 species